rnacentral:rRNA from 1 species
GACGAACGCUGGCGGCGUGCUUAACACAUUCAAGUCGAACGAGUGGCGAACGGGGGAGUAACGCGUGGGUGAUCUGCCGUGCACUUCGGGAUAAGCUUGGGAAACUGGGUCUAAUACCGGAUAGUGCAAGAUGGGCUCGCGGCCCAUCAGCUUGUUGGUGGGGUAAUGGCUACCAAGGCGCGACGGGUAGCCGGCCUGAGAGGGUGUACGGCCACAUUGGGACUGAGAUACGGCCCAGACUCCUACGGGAGGCAGCAGUGGGGAAUAUUGCACCAGCGGCGGACGCGUGAUGCAGCGACGCCGCGUGGGGGAUGGACGGAUGCGUGUUAUAAACAGCUAGUGUGAGCCGGGAACAGUACAAGAAGCAGCGGCUAACCUCGCGCCAGCCGCCGCGGUAAUAC